AGGGCUUAGCUCACCUGUGAACAGAGUUAGCGUUGCAUCAUGUUCACAGUGGCUAAGUUCCGC
rnacentral:pre_miRNA from 1 species